UUCAAGGUGACCACAGUAGAGAAGAACUUAUUUUUAGGAAGAAUUGGGAAAUGAAAUCUUAGUUGUCAAGAUCACAUUGAAGAAGUUCUGGGGUUUUAUUAUUCAUCAUAAAUCUUCUUGAUAGAGACACAUUUUCUAAGUCUGAUCCAAUUUGUGUCUUAUAUAUACAAGCAGUUGGAAAUAAAGAAUGGAGAGAGUUUGGAAGAACUGAAGUGAUUGAUAAUACUUUGAAUCCUGAUUUUGUAAGAAAAUUUAUUCUGGACUAUUUCUUUGAAGAAAGAGAGAAUCUUCGUUUUGACUUAUAUGAUGUUGAUUCAAAGAGUCCUAACUUAUCCAAACAUGUAAGUUCAUAUUUUUGUUAUUAUAUAUGUUUUAUGAUUAUUUGUUACUAUAUUCAUGCUCAUUUGAUAAUUUAAAAAUUGUAUGUCAGUGACUUUUGAUGUGAUGUGAUUU